UUUCGGUGAGUACCUCUUCCUUCAACUCCUUUUCUUCUUCCUCCCGAGUUUUUCUCUCCCAAGUCCCGUUUAGUCCACAUCCUAGCAGUUACAUGGGUUGGUUCUCAUUUAUCAUUUUCCCAUAACAGACUCCACCUCUCACUUUUGCUUUCUCUUUUCCACUGCAUUUUGCUGCGAUUUCUUGGUGGAUUUUCCAGAUUCGUUGUUUUCGAGCUCUGCCGAAUGGUGGUUGUGAUACUGUUAGAGAUCGGACUUAAGGCUAGAUAACACGCUGCAAAAGUUAAGAUGAUUUUGAUGAUAUAGCUGAGGAUCAAUAAUAGAGUUUGUGGCAAGAAUAGUUGAGGGUUGUGGUUGAGUACCUUGGAGUACUAGUGCUGUUCGAAGAUUUAUUUAUUAAGUAAUUUGAUUUCAGUAUGUUUAGAUGAUUAUGAAGACUUAUGUAUUAUUUCAGUUCAUUAUGUUAAUAGAGACAUGUGGAGAAGUUGAUUUAUUUUAUUUGGAUUAUUGUAUUGAGGAGUUGAUGAAUUGAUAUGUGCAGUUAAUUAUAUUAGAGGAAUUUAUGUUUGA